rnacentral:rRNA from 1 species
AUUGAACGCUGGCGGAAUGCUUUACACAUGCAAGUCGAACGGUAGCGGGGGCAACCCCUCGAGAGUGGCGAACGGGUGAGUAAUAUAUCGGAACGUGCCCAGUCGUGGGGGAUAACGUAGCGAAAGUUACGCUAAUACCGCAUACGAUCUAAGGAUGAAAGCGGGGGAUCGCAAGACCUCGCGCGAUUGGAGCGGCCGAUAUCAGAUUAGGUAGUUGGUGGGGUAAAGGCUCACCAAGACAACGAUCUGUAGCUGGUCUGAGAGGACGACCAGCCACACUGGAACUGAGACACGGUCCAGACUUCUACGGGAGGCAGCAGUGGGGAAUUUUGGACAAUGGACGCAAGUCUGAUCCAGCCAUUCCGCGUGCAGGAUGAAGGCCCUCGGGUCGUAAACUGCUUUUGUACGGAACGAAAAGGUCUCUCUUAAUACGGGGGACUCAUGACGGUACCGUAAGAAUAAGCACCGGCUAACUACGUGCCAGCAGCCGCAGUAA